CAGCAGCCGCGGUAAUACGUAGGCGGCAAGCGUUGUCCGGAAUUAUUGGGCGUAAAGGGCUCGCAGGCGGUUUCUUAAGUCUGAUGUGAAAGCCCCCGGCUCAACCGGGGAGGGUCAUUGGAAACUGGGAAACUUGAGUGCAGAAGAGGAGAGUGGAAUUCCACGUGUAGCGGUGAAAUGCGUAGAGAUGUGGAGGGACACCAGUGGCGAAGGCGACUCUCUGGUCUGUAACUGACGCUGAGGAGCGAAAGCGUGGGGAGCGAACAGGAUUAGAUACCCCUGUAGUCCCUGUCUCUUAUAC
rnacentral:rRNA from 1 species